AGGAGUAGCUGCUUCCGGUGUUUGUUCCAUGUGGACAGAAACUGUUAUUGGACAAAACAGCUUUAAUUAAUAGAAUCUGAAUGGUAAGAGCGAGUAAUGACUGGAUUUACUGUAUACAGCAUUCAUGUACUAUGUAGAGUAUACAGCAUUCAUGUAAUGUAUAGCAUUUAUGUAGUAUACAGUAUUCAUGUAAUGUAUAGAGUAUACAGCAUUCAUGUACUAUGUAGAGUAUACAGUAUUCAUGUAAUGUAUAGCAUUCAUGUACUACAUAAAGAGUAUACAGCAUUCAUGUAAUGUAUAGCAUUUAUGUAGUAUACAGCAGUCAUGUAAUAUAUAGAGCAUACAGUAGAGAGCUUAGGAUUAAUAGUGAGUAUGUAGUUCACCCUGUGAGAUAUAGAAUAUAUUUACUUUAAAUUCACUUCUGAGCUUGAACAAAUUGUAGUAUAGUGUAUACCUUUAAGAAAAAAUACAAAUAACAAUAAAAUGGUGUAGUACCUGUAGCGGAACGCCAAUAUUAAAUCCACGAAUUCCGCUGGUUCAGGAAGUAAUCCACAGUCAAGCGCUGAAACAACAAGGCAAUAUCCCCAACCUCCCAGUAACCGGACGAAACACAGUUCUGAGAGUCAACUGAAGUCCUUUAAUUCUGCUUCACAAUUUAUACAAGUCCCCAUGCAAGGGGUUUCCUGAGUCCCCUCCCAGGGGCAUUCCCAGAGGGGACUACAUGGGGAACUUACAGUACAACACAUUUCUCCCAUCAGGCACUGCUGCACGAGAGGGAUCCUCCUCCUGGAAUAUACCGUUAAGUGGAUUAGCCCUCCGUGCAGCAGAACCGACAAUUUAUAUAAAAAUCUGUAACUUUGCGAAUAUACGGUUUAUUUGCACGAAUGGACGUUCGGUAGAUAGCUGGGGUCUGAGCGCAUCAUUCGUGAGAUUACCGCUCAGAUCCCAGCUAAAAUAACCGAACGCCGCACGAAAAACACAUUUAUUGAGAAACAUAUUAAAAAGACCGAUUGCCUUCCAGGGAAUGAAAUACCGAACGGCCUGGAACUCCCGAACGUCCUGGAGGCUCAGCGGUGUUCGUGCCGUCGAGUAGCCGUUUUUAGUACCAUGCGCUCGACGACCUAACACCGCUGAGGGAACAAAUGAUCCAAGAUGGCCGACCGCCGCAUGGUCGGUAGUCGAACGACGGCCACCCAGGAGAGCCUAUAAUUACCGAUUGCAACAUUGUUGCAAUCGGUUAACAAGCGCCACACGCCUCUAAGUGUGUGGGCUAUUAGGGGUCAUGUUUUCGGUUCACGAACGGCCCUCCAAAGUGCCGUUCGUGAAACGAAAGGCAAACCCCAUACAAAUAGCUAUCCGCAUUCGGCGGAUAGCAAAUACAGGCAAUUCAAGAUAUUACAGUCAGCAUACAGUGUACGUAGUUAAACACAUAUCUCCACCGACAUGCAGGCAACCCUUAAACGUACAGUCUCUGGUUAUAGUCCAAGUGGCUAGGUUUGCCACAAUGCUCCCCCAGAACCAAGCCGGCAUACACAGUCUGAUGCCCACGGAUCGGCUUGGGGAUGUCCGGAGGAGGGCUCACAGAUCACUUCUCAAGGUCUGUUUAUCUGGAUAACCCGUCAGCGUUACCGUUUUGUUUCCCGGGGCGAUAAUGGAUAGUAAAGUCAAAAGGCUGUAGCGCUAAACUUCAGCGCAGCAGCCUGGCAUUGUCUCCAGCCACACGGUUCAGCCACACCAACGGGUUGUGAUCUGUGAGCAAAGAAAAGGGUUGCCCAUAGAGAUAUGGUUGUAACUUUUUCAGGGCCCACACCACGGCCAGGCAUUCGUUUUCUAUGGCGGCGUAGCUCACUUCUCGGGGCAACAAUUUCCGGUUUAAAUAUGCUACGGGAUGUUCUCCGCCAUCUGCUCCGACCUGGCUCAGUACUGCUCCCAAUCCAAACAUUGAGGCGUCUGUGUGGACAAGAAAACGUUUAGUUGGAUCAGGAGCAGCCAGUACAGGGGCAUUGGUCAGAGCCGUCUUUAGUUGGUUGAAUGCCUGUUCACACUCUGGGGCCCAGAUGACCUGCCUGGGCAGGUUUUUCUUCGUCAAGUCAGUCAGGGGUUUGGCCAGGGCACUGUAAUUGGGCACAAAUUUUCUAUAAUACCCGGCAUCUCUGCUCUACCACCUGGUAUGGGCCCUGCCAGACGGCCUGUAGUUUGUCUGUGCGGACAGGUUUGAGGAUUAGCACCUUCUGCCCCACUUGAAAACUACGGUCUCUGGCACCUCUGUCAUACCAACGACGCUGUCGUUGCUGGGCGGCUUGGAGGUUGGUGCGCACUGCCUGAGUUAAUUCCUCCAGGCGAUCCCGGAACGCCAGCACGUAUGGUACAAUAGGGGUCCCAUCUGCGCUACUCUCUCCCUCCCAAUGCUCUCUAAUGAGAUCCAACGGUCCCCGGACCCUUCUCCCAAAUAACAGUUCAAAUGGGGAGAAACCGGUAGACUCUUGGGGUACCUCUCUGUAGGCAAACAACAGAUGGGGAAGGAAUCGUUCCCAGUCCUUAUGAGUCUCUCCGAAUGUACGGAGCAUCUGUUUUAGGGUACCGUUUAACCUCUCACACAAUCCGUUGGAUUGAGGGUGGUAGGCCGAGUUAAUGAUUGGCUUAAUGCCACAUAUUUUCCAUAACUGCUGAGUAACCUCGGCCGUAAAUUGUGUCCCCCUAUCGGAGACAAUUUCCUGCGGGAACCCUACUCUGGAAAAGAUUUUCAUCAGGGCUUCGGCCACGGUCUCAGCGUGAAUAUUGGUUAGGGCAAUCGCCUCGGGGUACCGGGUGGCGUAGUCCACCACGGUCAGUAUAUACCGCUUCCCAGAGGGGCUGGGUUUUGGUAGUGGCCCCACUAUAUCUACAGCCACACGGCUGAACGGUUCCUCAAUUAUAGGUAGUGGACACAGUUUCGCCUUGUGGCGAUCCCCCCUCUUGCCUACCCGCUGACACACAUCACAGGAGGUGCAAUAAUGUCUUACAUCUUUAGAAAUCCCGGGCCAAAAGAAAGCGUGAGUUAAGCGAUACCGGGUCCGGGUCAUCCCUAAAUGGCCGGACAGAGGGAUGUCAUGGGCUGUUCUUAGUAACUCAUGUCUAUACUUCUGGGGUACUACCAGCUGCUUAGUUUGGAGGGUCACAGAGCUUCCUAUUGCCCUUUCAGCCACCCGGUACAACAACUUGUUUUCCCAAAUGUACCGUUCCCCCUCCCGUCCCACCUGGUCCGUGUCUACCCUAUCUCGUUAUACCUGCAGUGUGGGGUCUGUCUGGACCUCUGCUUCAAAAGUGGUCGGGGUGUCCCAGGUCAUAUGCGUCAAGGGGGGGUCAUGGUUUCUUACCUGAGCCUCAGAGUGUGUUGGUGGUACCGUGGUGCGAGCCUGUUGCCGGGUAGUUACCGGAUGAGCUUCUUGCGAAGGAGCCUGGGGUAGGAAAGCUGAAGUCAUCUGGCCCAAGUCAUUCCCCAACACAACAUCUGCCGGUAACUUCUUCAUUAUUGCCACUUCUACAACCCCCUCCCCAGCACCCCAGUUCAAAUGCACCUUGGCAGUGGGUAGCCGGUACAUGGCUCCCCCUGCUACCCUGACCGCCACUGAUCCGCCAGUGUGGGCCGUAUCUGGAACCAAAUGUGGAGCAACCAGGGUCAAAGUGGCUCCCGAGUCCCUCAGCCCUUGUACUUCCUUCCCCCCACAAACACAACUUGACGGUGAUGCUGCCUGUUGUCUGUGGCUUGCACCGACAUCACUUCGUAUAAAACUCCCAAUGGUUCCUCAGUUUGCAGACUUGCCAGCUCAGCGUGGUCAGGUUCCGUGUGGUAGUAAUGAGCUGCUGCCCUUGGGGUGGAGUUUUGCCGUACCUGGUUCCACGCCUGUCUACUCCGAUUCUGGGUGCACUCCCGGGACAUAUGCCCCCACUGCCGGCAGGUAUGGCAUUGUAUGUUGGCUCGGCCAUUGUAGCGGAAUGGUGGUGGGGGGUUCCCUGGUGCUGGCCGGAAUGGGGCAGAGUUGGUAGGUGUGGAGAUGGUCGGGUGGUGUUGUACUGGUGGUUUCAGGGGACCCCUGUUGGUGAGCCCAUGAUGCCUCCUGGCAUUAAAGUGUUGAUCCGCCAACCGGGCGGCUUCUGUUAGGGUGAGGGGUUUUCUGUCUCUUACCCACUCUUGUGCCUCUGGUGACAGGCCGUUAAAGAACUGCUCCAGCAGGAUGAGUUGGCGCAGUCCCUCCAUGGUGGUGGCGUGGCUUGCCUGAAUCCACCCUUGUGACGCUUGGUCAAGCUUAUGUGCCCACUCAGCGUGGGAAUCUUUUUCUGGCUUCCUCAAUCCCCGAAAUUUACGCCGGUAUGCCUCCGUGGUUAUGGCAUACCUCUCUAGAAUUGCCCUUUUGACUUUAAAAUAGUCCUUGCUGUCCUCUCUGGGCACAGCGCGAUAAGCCUCUGCUGCUCGUCCUGCCAACUUGCCUGCUAGUAAGGGUACCCACAUUGCCUGCUCCAGAUCGUGUAGGUCGCAUAACCUCUCAAAAUCCUGCAGGUAUCCGUCGAUCUCAUCCUUCUCCUCACAGAACGCUUUAAAUGCCUGGUAGGGUAUUUUCUGCUUCACUGGAGCGCAGAAUGAGUUGGCGAUGGAUUCUGCCCUGGAGGGUGGCCCCAGGGGCUGCUGUGCCAUAAUGUAGUCCUGUACGUCUGCCAUCAGUACGGUCAAGAUGUCCAGGGGUACUGGCUGAGGUACAAAUUCCUGCCGGGUUCUCAGUUCCCUCUGAUAUGGGGUUUCCUCCCUGGCAGGUGGGGGUGGGCUGCUGUGUGCUUGGUCGCCCUCCAUCAGCUCUGCAAUUAGUACUGCUUUGGAUUUGUUGCUAGCACUUUUCCCUCUAGCCUCCAGCAGUUCCUUUAGCGUCUGCCUCUUUAAUGCCGUGUAAUCCGUCCCCAUUCACUGAUCGCUUUCGUCUGUUUGUUGCAUACGAAUUGCCUUUCCCUUUUUCCGUUCGGUUGUUUCUUUCAUUCGAAUGCGCUGUAUUCGGCUGUAGAGUUGGAUCCCGUCACUUGCCACCAAUUGUAUCGGAACGCCAAUAUUAAAUCCACGAAUUCGGCUGGUUCAGGAAGUAAUCCACAGUCAAGCGCUGAAACAACAAGGCAAUAUUCCCAACCUCCUAGUAACCGGACGAAACACAGUUCUGAGAGUCAACUGAAGUCCUUUAAUUCUGCUUCACAAUUUAUACAAGUCCCCAUGCAAGGGGUUUCCUGAGUCCCCUCCCAGGGGCAUUCCCAGAGGGGACUACAUGGGGAACUUACAGUACAACACAUUUCUCCCAUCAGGCACUGCUGCACGAGAGGGAUCCUCCUCCUGGAAUAUACCGUUAAGUGGAUUAGCCCUCCGUGCAGCAGAACCGACAAUUUAUAUAAAAAUCUGUAACUUUGCGAAUAUACGGUUUAUUUGCACGAAUGGACGUUCGGUAGAUAGCUGGGGUCUGAGCGCAUCAUUCGUGAGAUUACCGCUCAGAUCCCAGCUAAAAUAACCGAACGCCGCACGAAAAACACAUUUAUUGAGAAACAUAUUAAAAAGACCGAUUGCCUUCCAGGGAAUGAAAUACCGAACGGCCUGGAACUCCCGAACGUCCUGGAGGCUCAGCGGUGUUCGUGCCGUCGAGUAGCCGUUUUUAGUACCAUGCGCUCGACGACCUAACACCGCUGAGGGAACAAAUGAUCCAAGAUGGCCGACCGCCGCAUGGUCGGUAGUCGAACGACGGCCACCCAGGAGAGCCUAUAAUUACCGAUUGCAACAUUGUUGCAAUCGGUUAACAAGCGCCACACGCCUCUAAGUGUGUGGGCUAUUAGGGGUCAUGUUUUCGGUUCACGAACGGACCUCCAAAGUGCCGUUCGUGAAACGAAAGGCAAACCCCAUACAAAUAGCUAUCCGCAUUCGGCGGAUAGCAAAUACAGGCAAUUCAAGAUACUACAGUCAGCAUACAGUGUACGUAGUUAAACACAUAUCUCCACCGACAUGCAGGCAACCCUUAAACGUACAGUCUCUGGUUAUAGUCCAAGUGGCUAGGUUUGCCACAGUACCCUUUAGUAUGUCUAUACAGUAAAACAGAGUAAUGGGGCACUCACAUUUUCGCGUUUCGACGAAUGGCUUACUCAAUCCGGUGUGGUAAACCAUCAAGUUCCGAGUCCGUCUAUAUAUAGGUCUGUAAUUUACCGGGGUUCCCUCCAGGUGUACUCUUUCUGUGUUCCAAGCCUCGUUCUGAAGUGAAUGCCAUGUCAUGCCUCUCUCUUGAUAUCAGAAACGUAAUUUCCGCUCUUUUUGCCGUCUCAUCAUAUCCGAUUCUGUCAUCUAUAAGUAUGAACUCUGCUCUCUUCAUAUGUUCCACUGAUUGUUUGCAUUCCACUGAAUUCCUAUUUAGAUGUUGGGAACUCACGGUAUAUCUCCAUGGCAAUUUCAUCCAUAGAUAUUGUGACGGAGCUCCUGUACUCCAACCAAGUAUCUCCGCCCAACCCACUUCCUAGCUGCUGCCUCCAGAGCUCUUCUUUCCUCCCGACCAAGCUGCAGAUAUCGUCCCCUCUGCCUAUUCCUCUGCAGCUCUCCUUCCAGGCAGGUAUUGUCCUCUCUGCCUAUUCCUUUGCAGCUUUCCUUCCAGGCAGGUAUCAUCCUCUCUGCCUAUUCCUCUGCAGCUCUCCUUCCAAUCAGAUAUCGUCCCCUCUGCCUAUUCCUCUGCAGCUCUCCUUCCAGGCAGGUAUCGUCCCCUCUGCCUAUUCCUUUGCAGCUUUCCUUCCAGGCAGGUAUCAUCCUCUCUGCCUAUUCCUCUGCAGCUCUCCUUCCAAUCAGAUAUCGUCCCCUCUGCCUAUUCCUCUGCAGCCCUCCUUCCAGCCAGGUAUCGUCCCCUCUGCCUAUUCCUCUGCAGCUCUCCUUCCAGGCAGGUAUCGUCCCCUCUGCCUAUUCCUUUGCAGUUUUCCUUCCAGGCAGGUAUCAUCCUCUCUGCCUAUUCCUCUGCAGCUCUCCUUCCAAUCAGAUAUCGUCCCCUCUGCCUAUUCCUCUGCAGCUCUCCUUCCAGGCAGGUAUCACCCCUCUGCCUAUUCCUCUGCAGCUCUCCUUCCAGGCAGGUAUCACCCCUUUGCCUAUUCCUCUGCAGCUCUCCUUCCAGGCAGGUAUCGUCCCCUCUGCCUAUUCUGCUGCAGCCCUCCUUCCAGCCAGGUAUCGUCCCCUCUGCCUAUUCCGCUGCAGCCCUCCUUCCAGGCAGGUAUCGUCCCCUCUGCCUAUUCCUCUGCAGCUCUCCUUCCAGGCAGGUAUCGUCCCCUCUGCCUAUUCCGCUGCAGCCCUUCUUCCAGGCAGGUAUCGUCCCCUCUGCCUAUUCCUCUGUAGCUUUCCUUCCAGGCAGGUAUCGUCCCCUCUGCCUAUUCCUCUGCAGCUCUCCUUCCAGGCAGGUAUCGUCCCCUCUGCCUAUUCCUCUGCAGCUCUCCUUCCAGGCAGGUAUCGUCCCCUCUGCCUAUUCCUCUGCAGCUCUCCUUCCAGGCAGGUAUCGUCCCCUCUGCCUAUUCUGCUGCAGCCCUCCUUCCAGCCAGGUAUCGUCCCCUCUGCCUAUUCCUCUGCAGCCCUCCUUCCAGCCAGGUAUCAUCCCCUCUGCCUAUUCCUCUGCAGCUCUCUUUCCAGGCAGGUAUCGUCCCCUCUGCCUGUUCCUCUGCAGCCCUCCUUCCAGCCAGGUAUCAUCCCCUCUGCCUAUUCCUCUGCAGCCCUCCUUCCAGGCAGGUAUCAUCCCUCUGCCUAUUCCGCUGCAGCUCUCCUUCCAGGCAGGUAUCACCCCUCUGCCUAUUCCUCUGCAGCUUUCCUUCCAGGCAGGUAUCGUCCCCUCUGCAGGCUAUUCCUCUGCAGCUCUCCUUCCAGGCAGGUAUCGUCCCCUCUGCCUAUUCCUCUGCAGCUCUCCUUCCAGGCAGGUAUCACCCCUUUGCCUAUUCCUCUGCAGCUCUCCUUCCAGGCAGGUAUCGUCCCCUCUGCCUAGUCCGCUGCAGCCCUCCUUCCAGCCAGGUAUCGUCCCCUCUGCCUAUUCCUCUGCAGCCCUCCUUCCAGGCAGGUAUCGUCCCCUCUGCCUAUUCCUCUGCAGCCCUCCUUCCAGACAGGUAUCGUCCCCUCUGCCUAUUCCUCUGCAGCUCUUCUUCCAGGCAGGUAUCGUCCCCUCUGCCUAUUCCUCUGCCGCUUUCCUUCCAGGCAGGUAUCGUCCCCUCUGUCUAUUCCUCUGCAGCUCUCCUUCCAGCCAGGUAUCGUCCCCUCUGCCUAUUCCUCUGCAGCCCUCCUUCCAGCCAGGUAUCGUCCCCUCUGCCUAUUCCUCUGCAGCUCUCCUUCCAGGCAGAUAUCGUCCCCUUUGCCUAUUCCUCUGCAGCUUUUCUUCCAGGCAUCGUCCCCUCUGCAUCUAUGGCCCUGGGAUAUAUGGCAUUUGAAAACAAUAUUUGUUCCCUGUGACAAAACUGGAGAUUGUGCACAAAUAUGACUAUUGUCCAUAUUUUUUAUGAUUCCCUUUGUUUGUUGCACUGUUCCCUGUGUGUUUCAUCUGUUGGUUCGGCUGGAAAGACUACCAGACAAACUGUGGAGUUACUGGGUGGCCACCAUUUCAUGUAUCAGAGACACAUGGUGAGAACAAUGGAUGAAGCACAUGGUGAGAACAAUGGAUGGCGGCCAUUUUAACUCACAGACACUGUUUGAACUUUUGUACACGGUACCAUCUCGCCGGUAUUUGGUGCACAAAGACAUCGUUCAGUAGUUUUAAACUACAGAACAGGGGACACAUUAUACAGUAAUUAUUUUUCAUGUAGCCUGUAUAUGUUCUGCGGAAUCUGCAUUAAACCGUAUCUUCCAAACUACUGAACGGAUCUGGGGGAAUUUUGGAUAUGUGGUUCACCCAGAUCCCCCGGUUCCGAGGAUAUAUUUAUGGGGUUAUUGCAUGUUUUUGGGUCCCUGUGAUAUGUUUUAUAAUACUGUAUUUUCCUGCCUGUAAUAAUUAAGUUAGUCUAUUGUGUUGAGAUAAUUGUAUCACAGGCAGAGGGGAGGAUUUCUGAUGUAAUGAAUGGGAGUGUUAGCUGUAUUGUAAUGUGUUGAUUGGUUGUUCUGCAAAACCCUGUGGUCAGUUCUAAUUCACCCUCAAUUUGGAGUGCCGUCUCUUAUUGGGGGAAUCUGCUACAAGGGAUUGCUAUGCUCUGCAUACUCUCUUGCUAUAUUCACUGCUAUCUCUUGUAAGAACUUGUUCCUGUCUUGCUCUCUGAAGGAGUCUACGGUGGUUAUGGUGUCGGCUGGAGUGCAUGGAGCCCUCAGGAAGCGCUAGGAGCAUCCUUCAAUGGAAGUACCCAGUCGGGGUGCCAGGUGAUCUGUUACAACCAGUCCUAGCUCUCUUGCUUUAUCCUAGGGCGAGAGGGAUCCUGCAACCAGCAAACAGGUCCGAAGACUGUCACUGGAAUCCCUACAAAAUCCACACAUAAACAUUGCUGUGACAACUCAGUAAAAAUACAGUCAAAUCAUAGCAGACAACAUACAGCAACUUAUAACACAAUGACAUAUUUAUAAAGGGGUGGGGAAGACAGUAAUUAACAGAAAAUCUCUCUCCUGCCUGCAGAAUUAGCAAUAUGCAAAUCUACCAAAAUAUGCAAAUUAACCAGCCUUGCCACUCAGGUAGUGCAUAGAAACCUAGAAUGUGACGGCAGAUAAGAACCAUUCGGCCCAUCUAGUCUGCCCAAUUUUCGAAAUACUUUUAAUUAGUGCCUGGCCUUAUCUUAUAGUUAGGAUAGCCUUAUGGCUAUCCCACGCAUCCUUAAAGGGACUCUCCAGUGCCAGGAAAACAAACUCGUUUUCCUGGCACUGUAGGUCCCCUCUCCCUCCUACCUCCCAUCCCAAGUUGCUGAAGGGGUUAAAACUCCUUCAGUGAUUUAACUGUAUCCUGUGAGGAUAUUUAUGGGCUGAUAAAUAUUAAAAAUAAUAUUUUCAUAAAAAUGAUCAAAAAAAUAUUUAAUCAUUUUUAUUAUAUCAAAAAUUGAUAUCUUGGCACUGUUUCACCGAUUAAUGAUUUAAAGCUGAGAAUUACCCACUAUUUUAAUUCUUAGAUCCUAGAGGAAGUUUCACUAGAAGAUUUAACUACACACAGUACUCACAAAUUAAUUGUAAAAAUAUAAUUUAUUGUGACAAUAAUAAUAAAAAUAAUAAUAAUAUGUAACAUGCGUGACAAUCAGUGAAUAUUUAGGUAUAACUUUAGUAUACAAUAUGGCAGUGGUUUAACACAAUAUAGACAGUUAUAUAUGCAACAGUUGUCAAGAAUAUUUAUGACAAGACACUCCUUUGAAAUCAACAUAACACGGAAUACAGCAUCUAAUAGCUUUUCACAGCAGCAGUGCAGCAUAAAGCAGUAAAAACUUUGGCUGACAGUCAAAUCACACUGAAUUAACUCUUUCACUCGUAGGCAAGAUAUCGUAUUAUAUUGCAAUUUUUACAGCUACAAUAUUCUCAUAUCGGAUCAUUCACCACUCCUAGGACCAUCCAAUAAGAAUAAUUCUAACUAGAUUUUACAUUUGCAGAAUAUCAGAAAAAGUCAAUACCUCUGGAUAAAAAUUGUGUGUGCUAACAUUUGGCAAAUUUAGCGUUAAUAAAUCGUUAUCUUUAUUCCACCUGCAGGAGUGGAAUUUGUAAAACCAUAUAUUCCUUAGCUAAUUAUGAUUUCUAAUAAUUGAAAUCUGACCAAGAUUUAUCCAGAUAUAUAUUCCUGCUAUUAGUAAAAAGUAUGAUGAGAGAAUUGUAUGAGUUCUGAAGUUAUGUUAGUUGGAAAAGUAUAAAGAGUUAGGUGUGUCUCAGAGCGUCUUAGACUGUCCAAUAGUCAGAAUGCGGAGAGUCAAAAAUGGGUCGCAAGAAAAUACUGAGAAUGGGCAGCAGCUGAAAUAGCCUGCCCUUCGGUCGUUACCCGCUCAGUUCUCAAGCUGAUUUUUGCUCAUCUUGUGCCAUUACAGAGAGAACAUAUCUGAAGCAUAUCAGACUGGUCCCACCCAUACAGGCAGUUCAGAUCCAAAAUGCCAGCAAGUUCUCUCUGCACGAGAGAUACAGCAACCCCAGACAAUCGUUUCAGCCUUGUUAGGCAUCAUCAGUGAGGCAUAGCUGAUAUCUCCCUAGGCACCGUGAGCAAGGGGUCCACGUCUGGAUUAUCCCUUUAAACUUGUGGAGAGUCAAAAAUGGGUCGCAAGAGAAUACUGAGAAAUAGUCAGUAUGUGUAAGUACCAGAGAGUGUUUCAGAGCGUCUCCUCUCUUCCCUUUGUCCUUAAUUUUUAAAGGACUAGUUACGCUAUACGUCACUAGUUGAUAGGACCAAUAGAGAACUGUGGACAUGUCUUCCCUACUGACUAUCAUCUAGAAUUUGGUCAGUAGAUGGCACAAUUACAUCACCAAAAAUUCUUGUCAGGGGGUCCGUUUACCUUUUUGUAUAAUGACUUCACUGAAUUUUGUGAUGUUUGAUGUAAUUUGGUUAUCUUUUUAUAGCUACUGUUCGUCAAAGAAGCUGUCAUCUUCAAAGCGUUUGGUUCACUCUUAUCGAGACUUGGUGUAUACCUUUAAAUUUAUUUUCCUGACAUGUCUAAACUCUUCUUCAUCUUUUCUUACAAUGGAACUUUGUAAUAUUCUGUUAGGUUGUUUUUUUUUGUUUUUUUUUUUAGAAAGUAAAAUUAAUUACUUAGUGUUAUCUGUUAUUUGGUGUCUGUGUGGUUUUCUUGUUUGAAACUGUAGUUAAGAUUACACAUAUUCCACUAACAUUAGUAAAUAAUAUGAUAUUAUAUCCAUGAAUGUUUUAUAUUAUUAACUUAGUACUAUUUAUAUAUGAUUAAUAUAAUAUAGUAACACUACUGAAGUAAGGCUGACUGGCCUAUAGUUGCCCGACUCCUCCCUAUUACUUUUCUUGUGAAUGGGCACAACAUUCACUAACUUCCAAUCGUCUGGGACUACUCCUCUUAACAAUGAUUGGUUAAAUAAACCUGUCAAUGGUUUUGCAACUAAGCUCUUUUUUAUUUAUCUUUUUAUUUAACAUUUUAUUUAGCAAAUGAUGCACACUGGCAAAUUGUACUUUGCAGAAAUAACAAUUCCAAGCAUUUUUGUCAGGUACAAUUCCUGCUAGUGAUGACAUCUGUAUGUUAUCAUGGACACUUUGCACACAUUCAUACUGUCAAAUUGAGUAGAUAACAUAUUGCUUUUUACCGACAUUGCAUAUUUCAGACAUUCAAUACGCGGAGCAUUGUGUACAAAAUUUUAGUUUAGUAGUGAGGUGGGUGGAUUAACAACAGGUGGUUGGGCCGGUGUGGGGGGGGGGAGGGAAGAUUCCCCUGUGUAUAACAGAUUUACCAUCCAAACUUCUUGUUUCAACUCAAUGCCGUUUGCAUCUGUGCAAAUGGGUACACGCUCUCUUGUGUAUGUUCAGGGAGUCAGCCUUUGUUGGUGUAUUCCAUCAGGUCCCAUUGAUUUAUUUGGCCUUACGUUUGACAGUUGAACUAGAACCUCUUCCUCUGUAAACUCAUAUGUAACAAAUGCCUCACUUGUCCUUUUUCCUUACUGAGGCCCCUUUCCUUCAUUUUCAUCUGUAAAUACUGAACAAAAAUAUUCAUUGAGGCAGUCAGCUAGACCUUUAUCCUCUUUGUAACGAAUACCCUAUUCAUGGAUAACAAUAUUAUUACUGGUUUGCACUUUUGCUACGAUAUGCUGCACCUAUAUUCCAUACAAAUGUUUAAACGAACAAACUGUGCCUAAUUUGUUCGUUUACCGAACAGUUUGCUGAAUGUUAGACGACCCAAGCCAGUUGUGUGCCGCCAAUUGACUCAUUUGACUCUAUGCAAAACCGCAACCUCAAUGUUCUAAGUGGUUCACUGGGUGGCAAUUGAUUCGUAUGCAUUAACCCGUUGAGGCGGCCAUCUUGUUUUGUCGAACGCGUCCAGCAGGGUUUGGUCGUUGAGUGUCUGGAACUAAUUUCGCACUCUCGAUCUCCCGAACACCGCUGAGACUUCCAGGGACACUUAAAUUCAUUAUAAUCCAUCCGAAGAAGGCGGCAAUUGACAGAAAUUGUAUAUGAAUGAAGCGGCACAUGACCAUCAAAUGAACGAUUUAUGUGAACUAUCAUUCGACAUUUUGGUACUGCGCGAAAGAGCCUGGCCGCACUAGCUGAACGCAUGGAAGUAUUUUGGGCAGGUGCCUUGUGUGCGGCCGUGCAGAAAUGGAACUUCCAGCUAUCUCCCGAACCCCUGAACCGAUUCGUAUAAUUUUUUGAUAUAUUGUUCCCCUGACUAUGGACUAUCAGAAUAUGUGUGUUUUGUGGGGGUUGGAUAUGGUUCUGGGGUGUUUCUGAAAACGUGGAAUUUUUUUUAUUUUUUCGUUUGGAGAUAAUUGAGUUGAUACAGUAAUUAACUCAAUUAUCUCCUAAGCAGAGGGGAGGAAUUUUAUGUAAUAAUUGGGAGUGUUUGGUUAUGUGACUCUAUUUUUAUUGGCUGUUAACUGUAUUUCCCUGUGCCCCACAAGGUCUACCUGGGUGGUAAUCUUGUGGGAAAAGUUGCAUAAAAGGCCAGCCUGGCCCAUUAAAGCUUCAGAUCUGCUUAACCUUCAAUACAUAGCCGUGUCUCGUGUUUGUAGGGAACCUGCUUCAGAGCUAAUCACUAGCUCUUGUAAGAGCUCUAUUACCCCUUCACUACUGGUUCGGCUGAGGUGGCAUCUGGAGAAUAUUGCAGCACAGCUUCUCUCAAGGGAAUAGGAUGUCUCCAACAGCAUACACCCCUAUGAUACUCUGGCUAGCCGUUACACUCUUCUACAUGCCUUCUUUCUUUUGUUUUUAAUCUAACUAAUCCUUGUUUUACUUUCCUUUCUCAUUUAUGUAUCUAAAAAAAAUGGCUUUUUUUACUGACUGUACUAUUUUUCUCUUCUGUGUGUAAAUUUGGAAGCUCUGAUAACUUGCUUAGCCUCUUUCUGCCUAAUCUUAUAGAUCUGUCUAUCUUCCUUCCUCUGGUUUUUUUUUAUAAUUACUAAAUGCUAACUUUUUGUUUUUUACUAUUUUGGCCACAUCUGUGGAGUACCAUAGUGGUUUCUCAAUUUUUUUGCUUUUACUGACAAACCUAACACAGUUUUCUGUUGCCUUCAGUAGUGCAAUGUUUAAAUAAUCCCACUUCUCAGGGACUUUAUUUAAUCUGCUCCAGUCUGAUAAUGACUCCUUUACACACAUUCUAAUUCAAGAAAAAUCUGUUUUUAUAGUUUAAAACUUUUGUUUUUGUGUGGUGUGACUCAUUCACUGUUCUUAUAUUAAACCACACUGACUGAUGAUCACUGGAUCCUAAAUGUUCACCUACAGUAAUAUCUAAUACCAAAUCUUCAUUUGUUAACACUGAAUCUAGUAUGGCCUCUUUACGAGUUGACUCCUCAAUGACUUGUUUUAGAGACAAUCCCAGUAGGGAGUUUAGAAUAUGUGUGCUCCUGGCACAAGCAGCUAUUUUGGUUUUCCAGUUCACAUCAGGAAGAUUAAAGUCACCCAUGAUGAUAACUUCCCCCUUCAUUGUCAUUUUAGCUAUUUCCUCAACUAGUAGAUUAUUGUUUGUGGUUUAAAUUCAGUAGACAGCAAUGUUUUCUCUCAGGUAUGAAGACAAGGAAUGGACACAGCAGAAAUAUGAGCGUGGAGGGCAGUACUUGUCCACACAAAUGUAUGGCUGAAUAUUGCUCCUGAUUUAAUGGGAGAAGACACAGAUCUUAGAUCCAAUUCUUUACAUAUCCAAAAAGGGGUUGUCUUCACACAAUACAUUAGGUUUUACAUAUGGUCAUGUCCAGUGAAAUGCAUCUUCAAAGAACUUAUAACACACCUGGCAUUAGCUUUUGAAAAGAUGUUACUUGAUUAAACAAACACUUUCCAACAGUCAUAAAGAUAAGGUGUUAACAAGAUAUAGGGGGCUGGGGGGAACAAGAAGAAGGUAAAAUCAGGACAAAGACAGCGUAGGUUGAAACGUUGUGAUGGAGUGGGCUCAAUAAAAUUGCCUGGUUUGUACCUCGGAGUGCCUGGACUUUUCUUCUAUUUUUGUUAUUCAGCAUUUGGUCUCUGGUACUGAGACUGUCCGAGUUGCACCCAGCUACAUACUACUUAAAGGGACAGAGUGCAGUUCCACACCCUACCAUAACUACUUCAUAAUAGAGCAUCCUGACAUUACUCAAUCCUUGUGUGAUACAUGAUAUAAGGGGAAAGGUGGUCAUUAACCCUUAUCAUUCCAAUCUUUUAUUCUGAAAGAAUAAUGUAACGGAGCUACCUGUACUCCGACCGAGUACCCUCCGUUGAUGGAUGCUCCUAGCGCUUCCUGAGGACUCCAAACACUGCAGCAGACACCACAACCACCGCAGACUACACAACCGCCGUAGCUUAACUGGAGUCUCGCCGUCUUCCUUCCACCCUGGAUCAGCUUCUGUCCUCCAAGACCGUGUGGGGAAGACCUCUCCUCCAGGAGAGCGUAACAGGAACAGCUCUUAAAAGAGCUAAGUGAUUAAAAGCUCAGGGGAAUAUGCAGAGCAUAGCAAUCCCCAGUGUGAUAUAGCAGUUCCCUCCAAUAACGAGACAAGGCUACGUAUUGAGGGUCAAGAAGAUCUGUUUACUUGGCACCAAAGGGCCUUCUUUUAUGCAGGUUUAACACAUACAGGACCGCCCACAGGGGUUUACAGAACAACCAAUCAUAAACGUACAUUACAGAAAACACUCCCAGCAAUUACACACAAAAAUCCUACCCUCUGCCUGUGAUCUAAUUAUGGCACACAAUGCUUAACAUAAUUAUCACAAGCAGGAAAAAUACAGUUUUUAUACAUGUACUAUAACUUUAAAACUACACAUCCAAUCUUCAUAAAUUACAUAUUUGGAAUCAGCACACUUUAAACAUAAACAUAACCAAAAAUUAGCCAAAUCCAUCCAGGGGUUAAAAAGUUAGCUGGAGGUCCCUUUAUGACCGACCGCAAGCACAUUUUCCUGCCCAAAACAGUUCCAUAGAUUUGGGCUGUGCGGUCGGUCUAUUUCAGGCUGAAAAAACGACUAAGUCCCAUCGCCGGUUGGGACUUAGUCUCUGCAGCUGUAAAAUCAUUGUGGGAGAAGGUAGGGCUCAGCGGUGUUCGCGGAAAUGUGUAGCCGAUUUUAGUUCCAUGAAUUUGGCUACACAUACCGCUGACCUCGUUCGCAUUAACAAAGAUGGCCGCCGCCACGUGUUCAGCAAACGAACAAAGGCCACCCAGCAUUGUCAAUUAAGCUGCGGUUAACCGCAGCUUCUGGGAGGUAAAUUGCCUGCACACUUCCACUUCUGGGUGGUCUGCCUGUGUGGUACUUGGUUCAGUAAGCCCCAUUUACUGAACCAAGUGGGAAAUAGCCAGGCACAAAGGGCUUUAACCAGGUCUGGGGACACAGGGCACAGCGUCUUAAAGGGGCAGUGUCCCAAACAAGUCUGGGGACACCGUCUUAAAGGGGCAGUGUCCCAAUCUUCCUGAUGUCCCAAAAAGGUGUUUAAAGGGCCAGCACCGGUCCCAUAAAGAGUCCAUAAGCCACAAUAUGCCCACUGCCUGUCUUAAAGGGCCAUACACACCCAAUAAAAGUGCAUAAGUUCCCACAAUCUCCCAGGGGCCAUAGUCAUGUGGAAGGAGGUUUGCAAAUAGGCUUCUCCACAACCCAGGGAAGCAGGGCAAUUUGCCAUUUAAAGGCCCAGUUACAAAUAGCAGUUUGUAACAAAUAACAUAUCAUUAAAUUAAUUAAUUGUCUAUUAUAGCAAUCAGGGAAGAAAAAAAAGUCAGAACAAUUAUUUCUGAAGAAAAUCUCUGGGGAGCCAUGGCUAUAAUUCGUCCUCCCUCCUGGACGAAUUAAGUUUAAAUGAACAAUUUAGUUGAAUUUAGAGCUUGGUAUAAAUUCUUUGCAGUUCUCAUAACAUGAUUGUGUUUCCCCAUGAUGAAGGGUAUGAAGCCCGCUUAGAGUGUGAUAUAUUAAUAACAUAUUUUACUAUCACUGUUCUUUGGGACCAAAUAAUAUUUAUCAGCGCAUAACCAAGUCCCAUGGAAAGAACAAUAAUUAUUGUUCAUUCUGAACCAAAGUCUGAGGUUGAUCAUUCUUUGUUUUGACUAUCAGGAGGGCUUGAUGUGGGACAUCUUUUUAAUCGGCUUGCAUGAAUCCAUAUCUGGUUCUCCUCGGUCAGAACGGCUGUUUGGGUGAUGGCAACAACGUUUGUCAGAGGGCCAUACGGUGGAUCAAAGGUUCCGGAUUUGAAGAGGGACUUCACCAAGACUUGGUCUCCAGGCCUAAAAGGAUUUGUGGUAGUACCUGCAGGAUGAGGAAGAGAUAGAGACACAUCACCAUAGAAUGUGGUUCAAAGAGUAUGAAUGUCCCAAAGAGCUGAAUCUCUCAAAGAGCCGAAUGUUUGAAUCUUUUUUUUUUUUUUCUGAAUCCCUUUGUGCACGUCAUUAAUGAUAGGACCAAUAGGGAACUGUAGGUGGGUCUUCCCUACAGACUAUCAUCUAGAUUUUGGUCAGUAGAUGGCGCAAUUACAUCACCAAAAUAUCUUGUCAGGGGGUCCCUUUGCCUUUUUGCAUAAUGGGUAAUCUGAAAUUGGUGAUGCGUUUUACGUCAUUUACAGCUAUCUUUAUGUCUACUAUAAAUCUAAAUUCCUGCCAAUUUCAAAGGUUUUGUUUCACUCUCACCCAGACUUAAUGUCUGGCAUGUACCUGUCACGUAUUCAUCCGCUUAUAAAAAUGUGGUUAAUGACAUUUACUGUCCACACAGGAAAAGUUGUGCCGAGCAGCAACCAAAUCCACAGAAGGGUUAAUGCUGAGUAGCUAUUAUGCAAAUGGGAACCUGGUAACUGUCUUUGGGGUCAAAGGCCAGUUACAGCCUAUCAGAUCUAGAGGAGGGGUAUUUAGAGCCAGUUUUCAUCCUGCUCAGUGCCCUGUCGUGGUUUCCCUUGUGGUUGUCUGAGAGCGUGUUAUUGAUUCUGGUAAUUCUGGUUAUUUGACUUUGGCAUUGUUUUUGACUUCAAUGUUUUCUGGCAUCCCUGAUUCCUGGCUUUUCCUUAUCGUUGUGUCUCUUUCUGUUUCCCUCGACCUCGGCUAUUCCUGACUAUUCUUUGGUACGUUAGUCUGGCCAUUCUAAGGUCCGGUAUACGUUACCUAUCAGUCCUCUGUGUUACACAAUUCUACGUGCUGGAUCAUUCUGUAAUCCUGACAAUACCUUUAAUACCUUUCUAUCUUUCUGACAUCAUGUCUAAACUCUCCUUCACCUCUUGCUUUCAAUGGAACUAGUGAUGUUCUGUUAAUUUUUUUUAAAUUUAAAUUUUAAUUUUUAGAAAGUACAAUUAAUUACUUAGUGUUAUCUGUCAUUGGUGUCUGGUUUUCCUGUGUGAAACUGUGUUUUAGAUUAUUUCUAUUCCACUAACAUUAUUAAAUAAUAUGAUAUUUCUUCAUUGAUAUUUAUCUAUGAAUAGUCAAUAUUAUUAACAUGAUACUAAUUAUAUAUGAUAAUAUAAUAGUAAUUUAUAAGUGGAUAGUGUGUAUAAGUAUAUACAAUUAUGUAUACAUUUGUCUCUGGGUUUGUAUUCCAUUCCCCCAUUUUUUUUCUGUGAGACCUCAUGCCUUAUCACUUGUCUUGUUUACAUAACGCAUUCCUUAGCUCAGACUUGGAUGAAUAGAGUGAUAGAAAGAAAUCUUGUGUCUGUCUUAGCCUUGUAGUACAAAAUAGAAUCACCUCUGUUCUGAGAGUGACUGGCAGUAUACACUUUUAAUUUCUGUCUUAAUACAAAAUGUCUACCGAUAUAAAUAUACUGACAGAUCAUUGAGGAUACCAGAAGCUGCAUCAGGUGUAAUAGAAUGUAUGCUCCAGUAAGCUAAGUCAUCUGAAUAUGCUGCAGCCUGUAUAAAAAGAAUAUCAAUAUCAUCAGUAUGAGGGGCUCUAUGCACUGCAGUUAAGAUCUGGUAACGAGAAAUAGUACUGUAAUUUGGCCAUAAGGGAAAAGAGGCACCAAAUCUGCAAAAUCAUUACCAUCCCUGACAAUUGAGUGAUCUGUAUCAUGGCCCUUGCACUUCACAAUAGCUAAAGAUCUAGGUAACCGUAUGGCCCUCAAUAAUCCAUCAAUUAAUGCAAAAUGAGAAACCGUUCGACCAUCAGCUGCAACAAAGCCUCUAGCCUGUCAAAUGACACCAAAAUAAUGAACCACUCCAAAGGCGUAUCUCGAAUCGGUAUUCUGGCCCAGACUUAAUAUCUGGCAUAUACCUUUAAAUCUAGCUUUCUGACAUGUCUAAACUCUCCUUCACCUCAUGCUUACAAUGGAACUAGUGAUUGGGGUUUGGAGGGAACUAUUUGCCAGCUUUUUACCCUGUGACGAUGGCCCCUUUAAUUUAUUGUGGAUGAGAGACUCUAUUUGUGGCUAUUGGGACUUUAAACAAUUGUUCUUCGAACUCCCGAACAGUUGAAGUGGCUGCCAUUCGACGUGGUGGCGGCCAUCUUGUUCACAUGGACCAAAACCACUAUUAGACUUCAGGGGGACUUAGCCGCGAAAGCCCUGGAACUAUUUUCGGCAUGAAAACCUUGUGGUUCACGGUCAGAAGACAUGAAUGGACUUUAUAUCAAGGAACCUAGCCAUAUCAUUCCUGAGUUCAUCCAUCUGCUGCGCUCAGAACUGGGCUACAUAAUGAACGCUGGAAUGGAAAAUAUGUCUGUUAAAGUAUUAAAGUUAUGUAAUUUUAUACAGUUUUAUGGGUUGUAAUAAAACGUGGGAUUUUGGGCACUUGGAGAUAAUUACAUUGUCCCAACCGUUGGACUCAUUAUCUCCAAGCUGGGUGGUAACAAUUUCAAAGGAUACAUUGUAUUACUAUUAGUCAACUGCUCAUAUUGUCACUGUAUCCCAUCAGGUCCAGAGGGGGCUGUCCCUGGAAUAGUGAUGCCUGUGUGCCAUUAAAGCCAGUUCGUUUUACCCUCAAUUCGCAGCCUCGACUCGUGGUGUAGGGAUCCGGGAAUCCUAGCUUUACUAUAGCUAGUGGGAUAUUCUACACUUACAGGUUUCUACUGUUUGAAGCAGAGUUCGACUCUCCACCUUCGGGAACCAGGACAUCAAAGCGAUCCAAACUCCUGCUAGACCGGAGGCAAUCGUAACAUGUUCCUAUCUUGUUAUAAAAAUGUUUUUUUGGGUUUUUUUUUAAAGUGCAGUACCUCUUGACUACCUGUACCAAAUGUUUAAUAUGAUAUGUAAUACUGAACAAGUCACUGUUUACGCCUGUACUAAGCUCUGCACUCAAAAAUAAAGAAUAAAAAAAAUUAAAAUCUGC
rnacentral:lncRNA from 1 species